ensembl:lncRNA
CCCCAGUGCCACCCACAGCCCCCCAGUGCCACCCAGGGGUCCUCAGUGCCACCCAGGGCCCCCCAGUGCCACCAAUGGGUCCCCCCAGUGCCACCCACAGCCCCCCAGUGGCACCAAUGGGUCCUCAGUGCUCCCCACAGCCCCUCAGUGCCACCCAUGGGUCCCCAGUGCCACCAAUGGGUCCUCAGUGCCCCCCAGGGGUCCUCAGUGGCACCAAUGGGUUCUCAGUGGCACCCACAGCCCCCCAGUGUCACCCAGGGGUCCCCAGUGCCACCAAUGGGUCCCCAGUGCCACCAAUGGGUCCCCCCAGUGGCACCCACAGCCCCCCAGUGCCACCAAUGGGUCCCCAGUGCCACCCACGGGUCCCCAGUGGCACCAAUGGGUCCUCAGUGCUCCCCACAGCCCCCCAGUGCCACCCACAGCCCACCAGUUUCACCCAGGGAUCCUCAGUGCCACCCAGGGAUUCUCAGUGCCACC